AAUUGACCCCUUGUCUACUUGACACACAAACACAUCACUAUUAAGCCUCAGCUGUUAGUUUCUUAUUCAUCCCCUUUUAAAUAACUUUAAGGCAGAUGGCGGAAAUGGACCUGGUGGCUGAGUUGCCGCGUCCCCCGGGUGCUGCGCGCUGGGCCGAGGUUAUGGCUCGCUUUGCGGCCAGGCUGGGCGAGCAGGGCCGGCGGGUGGUGCUGAUCACAUCUGGAGGCACCAAGGUCCCACUGGAAGCGUGCGCUUUCUGGACAACUUCAGUAACGGGCAACAGGGAGCCGCGUCGGCGGAGGUCUUCCUGGCUGCCGGCUAUGGAGUCCUGUUCUUGUUCGGAGGGCACUCAGCCUUCCCCUAUACCCAUCGCUUCCCGCCCCAGGCCUGGCUGCCAGCCCUCCGGCCUUCUGGCCCAGCCCAGUCGGGCAAGCUGAGUCUGGAGGCCUAAGAGAAUGCGCUCCCGGGCUUUGCUACAGCAUUGCAGAGCUUCCAAGAGACUGGUACCUUCCUGGCUGUAGAGUUUACCACUUUGGCGGAUUACCUGCAUCUGCUGCAGGCUGCUGCCUUGGCUCUCGGUCCAUUAGGCUCUUCUGCGAUGUUUUACCUGGCCGCCGCAGUGUCAGAUUUCUAUAUUCCUGUCUCCGAAAUGCCUGAACACAAGAUCCACUCAUCUGGUGGCCCACUGCAGAUAACAAUGAAGAUGAUGCCAAAGAUGCUUUCUCCUCUGGUCAAACACUGGGCUCCUAAAGCAUUUGUAGUUUCCUUUAAGCUGGAGACAGACCCGGACAUCAUAAUCAGUCGGGCUCGGAAUGCUUUGGAAGUUUACCAGCAUCAAGUGGUGGUGGCCAACAUCCUGGAGUCAAUAAAGUCCUUUGUGAUUAUUGUAACCAAAGACUCGGAGACAGAGUUACUGCUGUCCGAGGAGGAGGUGGCAAAAGGCUUGGUGAUAGAAGAGAAGAUAGUAGAUGACCUUCAGUCUCGACACACAGCUUUUAUACGUGACAAAAACUGAAGGAAAUGCUCCUCUAGGAUCAAACACCAGAGCUCUUACCACUGAUAGGAACUAAGAUUGAUCCUCUGUUAAGGAUCAACCCAGUGAAGAAAUAGUAAACGCGGUGUGCAGGCAAGCGCCUGCUGGGACUUCAGUUCUGAGAGUGAAACACUGGACGCUCUCCUGGAUCUGGAAAGUGAACAGGAGUUCACAAAGAGGACUGUGGGAUUGCGUGGUCUGCAGAGCAGACGGGCCAGGAGCCGCUGCGUGUUGGCCUACUGUAAGGUCAUGGUGCGUGAAUGGUCAUGCUCUGAAGAAGUAUUUAUCAAGUGCCUACCAUGUGCCAGGGCCUUUGUGAGCUGUGAGGGUCUGAAAGAUGAAUGAGCACAUCUCAUUUGGGAACUGGAUGUACAAAAAUUUAUGUGCAAUAAAGUAUGUGCCCACAAAGGGACACUUGGAAAA